UGGGGAAUUUUGGACAAUGGGCAAAGCCUGAUCCAGCAAUGCCGCGUGUGUGAAGAAGGCCUUCGGGUUGUAAAGCACUUUUGUCCGGAAAGAAAUCCUUGGCUCUAAUACAGUCGGGGGAUGACGGUACCGGAAGAAUAAGCACCGGCUAACUACGUGCCAGCAGCCGCGGUAAUACGUAGGGUGCAAGCGUUAAUCGGAAUUACUGGGCGUAAAGCGUGCGCAGGCGGUUUGCUAAGACCGAUGUGAAAUCCCCGGGCUCAACCUGGGAACUGCAUUGGUGACUGGCAGGCUAGAGUAUGGCAGAGGGGGGUAGAAUUCCACGUGUAGCAGUGAAAUGCGUAGAGAUGUGGAGGAAUACCGAUGGCGAAGGCAGCCCCCUGGGCCAAUACUGACGCUCAUGCACGAAAGCGUGGGGAGCAAAACAGGAUUAGAUACCCUGGUAGUCCACGCCCUAAACGAUGUCAACUAGUUGUUGGGGAUUCAUUUCCUUAGUAACGUAGCUAACGCGUGAAGUUGACCGCCUGGGGGAUACGGUCGCAAGAUUAAAACUUAAAUGAAUUGACGGGGUCAUAGCUGUUUCCU
rnacentral:rRNA from 1 species